CACUGAGAACAAUAAAAUACAGGAUCUGCCAGCUGAAAUGGAAGUUAACAGUUUAGCCUCUGGCAAUAUUAUUUUUGAGAAUGCUUUCACUUUCUUAAGUUUAGGUAAAGCUAGUGGUUGAUUUGAACUAAAUAGAAUUCACUCAGUACUUUAGAACGCGUGCUACAGUGAAGAAUGGCUUCAGGAAACAAACUUUGAGAAUCAGAAUUGGAGAAUCAUAUUAUCCACGUCAACUCAGCAGUGAAAUGAUUAGUAAUUGAUUGCGUGUUCUGCACAUUGUCCCUGCAAAAAUGUCUCAUUUUGUGGACCAAAAACUGUCUUGGAAGAAUUCCAGGAAGUUUGCAAGAAAUUCAAUCUCAAGUCUGAGAUAACCGCCUUAUUCAAGAAAUUGACUGUGGAGGAAAUAGAAUUGCCUUUCAAGAUUCCUUGCAGCUGUGAUCCAAGGCAGAAAAAAAGAUAUCCCACAGCAGGAAUUCACCCAGCAACCACUGCACCUCAGCAAUGUAGGUGAGCGUACAGGAAAGGGACCUGUGCCGUGUUCAUCUCCCUCUUUAAAAUCAGCACAAAAGACAACGAUAUCAAGGGUAAAUGGUCCUAUGAAAAGAUUGUAGAAUUUUCCUCUAGAGGUUUUACUCAUAGAAGUAUUAAAGAUUUAUACUAUAUUCCUCCAGAGCUUACUAUAUGACUAGAAAUAAACAUUUCUGCAAGUCCGAGCUUGGGUAGAAUCACCACGUGGACAGUUAUCACUUAUGUAUAGAGCAUGGAUGAGGUGGGCAAUAGGAGUUGAUGGAAAAGAGCCACAGAAACAAAUAAGUCAAUUUCCACAAUGAUCUAUUCAAGAUCAUUUGAAAUAUAAGUAGC
rnacentral:lncRNA from 1 species